ACCUCGGAUUUGGCCGUUACCAAGGUCACUGUGCCAUUUUGAGAAUUAAAUUUAUUUGGCUGGUAUUUUUCACAAUAUGGGAAAAAUAUUGUGAUUUUGUUGUCCCAUAGAUGGAUGGAGAUCCCAUAUAGCUUUUGAUUAUUGAGAUUUUAGUGGAUCUAUAGUUUUGAUUCCAGUUUUUUUGAUGAGAAGUGUCCAGCCCUUAUUUGAGAAGAAAUGUUAAAUAAUUAUUGAUUGUGUGCCUUCACAAUGAGGUUUUUCUACAGAUUUUUCUACGUAUUUUUCUCAACGUUUUUCUUUGGAUUUUCCUUCAAGUAUUUCUAGACAUUUUUCUAGACGUUUUUCUGCAAGUUGUUCUGCAUAUUUUUCUAGAAGUUUGUGCCAAGUUUUUCCACAAGUUUUCUUACGUGUUCAGUCACCGAAGUAAUCAGUAGCAGCCUGUUCGGUGAAAUUUCAGCCCUGCACCCC